AUUGAACGCUGGCGGCAGGCUUAACACAUGCAAGUCGAGCGGAGAGAGGUAGCUUGCUACUGAUCUUAGCGGCGGACGGGUGAGUAAUGCUUAGGAAUCUGCCUAUUAGUGGGGGACAACAUUUCGAAAGGAAUGCUAAUACCGCAUACGCCCUACGGGGGAAAGGGGGGGAUCUUCGGACCUCUCACUAUUGGAUGAGCCCAAGUCGGAUUAGCUAGUUGGUGGGGUAAAGGCCUACCAAGGCGACGAUCCGUAGCUGGUCUGAGAGGAUGAUCAGCCACACUGGAACUGAGACACGGUCCAGACUCCUACGGGAGGCAGCAGUGGGGAAUAUUGGACAAUGGGCGAAAGCCUGAUCCAGCCAUGCCGCGUGUGUGAAGAAGGCCUUCGGGUUGUAAAGCACUUUAAGCGAGGAGGAAUGGCUGAGGGUUAAUAACCUUCAGCAGUGACGUUACUCGCAGAAUAAGCACCGGCUAACUCUGUGCCAGCCGCCGCCGUAAGAC
rnacentral:rRNA from 1 species